rnacentral:rRNA from 1 species
CCCUUAGAUGUUCUGGGCCGCACGCGCGCUACACUGAUGCAUUCAACGAGUUUCUUCCUGGUCCGAGAGGAAUGGGUAACCUUUUGAAAGUGCAUCGUGAUAGGGAUAGACUAUUGCAAUUAUUGGUCUUCAACGAAGAAUUCCUAGUAGACGUAGUUCAUCAGACUGUAUCGAUUACGUCCCUGCCCUUUGUACACACCGCCCGUCGCUCCUACCGAUUGAAUGCUCAGGUGAGCCAUUCGGACUUUCAUCAUGCUGGUUUCCAGUUUUGAUGAAGGAAAGUCUUGCGAACCUUAUCAUUUAGAGGAAGGAGAAGUCGUAACA